GACGAACGCUGGCGGCGUGCCUAAUACAUGCAAGUUGAGCGCUGAAGGUUGGUACUUGUACCAACUGGAUGAGCAGCGAACGGGUGAGUAACGCGUGGGGAAUCUGCCUUUGAGCGGGGGACAACAUUUGGAAACGAAUGCUAAUACCGCAUAAAAACUUUAAACACAAGUUUUAAGUUUGAAAGAUGCAAUUGCAUCACUCAAAGAUGAUCCCGCGUUGUAUUAGCUAGUUGGUGAGGUAAAGGCUCACCAAGGCGAUGAUACAUAGCCGACCUGAGAGGGUGGUCGGCCACAUUGGGACUGAGACACGGCCCAAGCUCCUAAGGGAGGCAGCAGUAGGGAAUCUUCGGCAAUGGACGAAAGUCUGACCGAGCAACGCCGCGUGAGUGAAGAAGGGUUUCGGAUCGUAAAACUCUGUUGGUAGAGAAGAACGUUAGUGGGAGUGGAAAGCUCAUCAAGUGACGGUAACUACCCAGAAAGGGACGGCUAACUACGUG
rnacentral:rRNA from 1 species